GCGUUCCGGGAAAGCCAAAUGAAUCCAUCCUUGUGACUCAUCGCGGUUUUGCUGUGAAGGCACGACAUUGCUCACAUUGCUUCCAGUAUUACUUAGCCAGCUCGGGUGCUGGCUUUUUUUU
rnacentral:antisense_RNA from 1 species